rnacentral:lncRNA from 1 species
CUCAAAUCAAUUCACAAGCAUCUUGCUCUAUAGUACUAUAUGCUGACUCCACAGUUGAUGUCUGGAAGGAGCUAUUGUUAAAUGUAUGUCCUAGAAGUCAAUUGUUAGCCGACAUAUUUUUUAUUCUAUGACACAUAUUUGUACUUAAACUAUUGAUUCAAUCAAUAAAGUGUAAAUUUUUAUUUUUUAUAUAAGUGUUAU